UACGUAGGUGGCAAGCGUUGUCCGGAAUUAUUGGGCGUAAAGCGCGCGCAGGUGGUUUCUUAAGUCUGAUGUGAAAGCCCACGGCUCAACCCGUGGAGGGUCAUUGGAAACUGGGGAACUUGAGUGCAGGAGAGAAGAGUGGAAUUCCACGUGUAGCGGGUGAAAUGCGUAGAGAUGUGGAGGAACACCAGUGGCGAAGGCGACUCUUUGGCCUGUAAUCUGACACUGAGGCGCGAAAGCGUGGGGAGCAAACAGG
rnacentral:rRNA from 1 species